GAUGAACGCUGGCGGCGUGCCUAAUACAUGCAAGUCGAGCGAACAGACGAGGAGCUUGCUCCUCUGACGUUAGCGGCGGACGGGUGAGUAACACGUGGAUAACCUACCUAUAAGACUGGGAUAACUUCGGGAAACCGGAGCUAAUACCGGAUAAUAUAUUGAACCGCAUGGUUCAAUAGUGAAAGACGGUUUUGCUGUCACUUAUAGAUGGAUCCGCGCCGCAUUAGCUAGUUGGUAAGGUAACGGCUUACCAAGGCAACGAUGCGUAGCCGACCUGAGAGGGUGAUCGGCCACACUGGAACUGAGACACGGUCCAGACUCCUACGGGAGGCAGCAGUAGGGAAUCUUCCGCAAUGGGCGAAAGCCUGACGGAGCAACGCCGCGUGAGUGACGAAGGUCUUCGGAUCGUAAAACUCUGUUAUUAGGGAAGAACAAAUGUGUAAGUAACUAUGCACGCCUUGACGGUACCUAAUCAGAAAGCCACGGCUAACUACGUG
rnacentral:rRNA from 1 species